rnacentral:misc_RNA from 1 species
ACCAAACUUUUUGGACACGCCUUGUCUCUCCAUCCUGAUCAUAAGAGAGGUACGUUUUCCGACGCCCUUAGCUCCAUUGGACAAGGUCUCGCCCAUUUCUUCCAGCCACAUGUUCAGGCUGUCCAACAGUUAGUUAGCGGAGUGGGUGAAUCCCUAAAACAGACCGCCCAAACAUUCCACACCAGUCUGACCACUGGUACCCACGGAACUGCCAUCCAUGACUCUGCUUCCACCCUGGCUCAGCACGGACAGAACGCCCUCAGUGCCCUCAAAGACGCCGUCUCCGAUAUCCUCCACCAAACUCUGACCAACAUGCAGCCACACAUCGUUAACAUCCUCCAGCAUGGAACCUCGGCUCUUACAGAGACCCUCUCCCACAACACAGCCACCUCAUCCGAGACAGCUGCCAACCCACAGUAAACCAUCCAACAAAAGCGAUAGUUCAUUGCUUCCAUUAUCAACUUGAACGAAAAAAAUCAAUAAACGAAUCAUUACGAU